UUAUACCUUAUUUUCAACGUUCUAAAGCAGGCUCCCCCCUUAAAGAUACGAUGCCACUUUGUACGAGCGUGAGAAGGGAUCUUUCAAGAGAUACUUGUCGUGCUGGAUAUUUGCAUAUAUUAUUCAGCACUAAUAUUAAAUUUAACACGUAUUUAACACGCAUGGACUGCUGUGGACUGAUUUUACUAUUAGCAGAAUUUAUCAUCGUUUUAGUAAGUACAAGAGAAAAUUUGGGCAGCCUGUUUUUCGUGUCUGCUGAAGUACGUUUUUAGGACGCAGUCGUUAUCGCAAUUAUCGACAAGGCAUAUUUUAUUCUGGCAAUUUGUAAUUUCGUCGGAUGUCGAUCGAUAAACCUCAACUCGCGAGUAAUCGACACAUCAACCAACGUUGUUAAGUGAAUUAUCUAAAUAUCGCAGUUUUUACGACACAUCUCAACUUGACGCGGACAAGUAGAACUUGCGACUUGUCACGUCUAAUCACCACGUACGAUCGCGUGCUUCUACUCUCAGCAUGUGAGAAAAACAAGUACGUGUGAAUAAAAUAUUGCGGUUACAUUCACGAUUUGUUGAAAUGUCUAAGUCUUCGUCAGGAUUCUGAAGCAAGGAGUAAUGAACAUGUUAAAAUGCAAUGUAGAACCAAAUCGAAAUUUAUAAUUGGAAAUUGCGUAUAAUUGCAUUGUUUAAUUAUGUAUACGUAUGUGAUUACACGCAUGAUUGUGUGUAUGUAAUGUUAAUUUGAAUCAGCACAACAUCGGAAUUCUGACGUUGAGACAAUUGUAUCGAACUAGUUUGAAUCAUUCGAAUAAUUUGUAUUUUUAAGCUUAAAUCUGAAAGCAAAUAAAGAAGCUUUCAAAAUAAUAAAGGUACAUUUUAACAAUCAAAUUCUGAAUUUAAGCAAAUCAGCAGACUCAUUCACGGUCAAAUAUUAUUGUUUCAGGAUUGAAUUGUAUAGCUUCUAUCUAGAACUCAAAAGAACAAUUUUUAAAACUUGAGUUUGAAACUGCAACUUCGUAUUACUUUCAUUUAUGAGUGCUAAUUAUAAUAAAUAAAUCUUUUGUCGCAACGCAAGACACGAACGUCUUAAUGCGACGUCUUCUCGACACGCGCAUACUGGGAGACAAAUCGAGUGCGUGACUUCUGGAAAUAAGAAACCACCGCAACAUCAAUCGGUCUCGCUUGGAGAGAGGGGUUUGUACUCCACCCUUAAUUUGCGGGACGGCGCUACGAAUGUCGACAACGACAUUCAUCAGAGUCGCGUGCAAACGGCUGUUCAUGCGUCCAGUCGGCGGGUUACUGACAUCAGAUCGCACGCGAAAUGUUAAAAGCAAAGAGCACCAUUAAGAUAAAGAUCACCGUAAUCGUUUGACUUCGUUCGGAAUUCUUCUUCCAGCGCUACUUGUUGCGCCCAAUUAAUUAUAGAGAAUGAAUCCUUUCCGAGAAUGAAUCCUCUGCGCUGCAAAUUGUACUGAAUCGGUCGCGACACACUAGAUACGGUUUAAAAAUGAAAUCGCGAGGACUUCAUAAAAAUAGAUGGGCUGUUUCCGAUGUGACGUCUAUGAACUUGAACGCGUUUAUUUUCGCACGUGACCUUUAUGCUUUCUUUCAGGAUAUCCGGACUAUGAAUAAUCUCUGACCAAGCACGAAAAGUUGGUGUACUGAUAAUGAAGCAAUCGCCGCUUAUCACGCAAAUGAGACGUGUCAUACAUCUCGAUAUUAUCUGGAUGGGUCCUUGGGGUACUUUCACGAUUGUCGAGGGUUGGGGAAUAAUCGGUCUAAUGACAAUGACGGGAUCGAAACGAGAUCGUCUACUAGCAGAUCAAUCCUAUUAGACCAAACCUCCUACAUCAAAUCAUUACACCAAAAUGUACCCAAAAAUGGGCGUUUUAUUUAAUCUUGACGAAAAUUUCAUUACGAAUGCAAGCUAGCGAAGACCCGACAGAGCCGGCGAAUUAAACUUCGACGGCGUAAUUUCUCAUCCAACGAGAGUUCAAAACGCGGGCUUCGUAACGGGAAUUUAAUUUCAGCUUUAAUCAUAAUAAUCCUCCGACUUUUUCAUGUGCGCCCCAUGUCUAAAGUUAAAGCAAGAGUUUCUCACAAAAGGGAAUAUAAUACCUUCGUGCUAACUAAAAUCCUCGUCGAGGCAUCACGCGAGCAUCCAAGCGAGAUUAUCAAAAUUAUAUGCCUGCGCAUAUUAAUAAUUAAAAAGUACACUUCAUUUUUCAUACGUCUAGGCGAACACAUUUCCUAUCAAGCGGAUCAAAUGUAUUUUGCAGAGAAGCGCGAUCGCUUCUGGAAUUAAACGCGAAAUCGACGUGCGAUCUGUGCGCAGCUCGAACGGCGGACGCGUGAUAGAUCAUUCCACUGAUCUCGGCAAGGCUCAUGAGAAAUGACGGGUGUAUCAUAACAACGAUCUAUCAUGCUGACACACAGUUUCGCGUGCCAGCGCUGGCGAUGUCGACGAGCGUCCGCGAGCAGCUCUCUUGGCCUCUCUUGCGCGCUUGCACAAACGGCCAUCGAGCACCUGUAACGUCUCAUCUGAAGCGGGCAAAGAAACACGGGUGGCAGGAAACACUCGCAUCAAAAACUGGCGCACAUUGCUGGUUUUGACAGGCAGAUCGCGAGGAACCUCCCGCGCGUUAUCUGCUACCCACAAACGUGCUCGGAGUGUGUUCGAUCAAUAACGGCUGGCCUCCACAGUCGGCUUCUCUCCAGCGUGCAACCCUCGCAUCUUGGCGAGCGCCAGAACACUCGCUAAUGCGAAAGAAACGAUUGACGACUGGCAAUUCGUAUAUUUCUCGCGGAACGUGCAGCUAAUCCUAGGAAUCGGAUUUGCAUUCUCUCUUAAAUGGAAUCGGAAGUCGAAGCAAUUGACCUCCCAAAAUCUGUAGAUACUUAUUUAAAGCGAAAGAACGGACUGUCUCGAGGAAAGAGGAAACAAAUUUUACCCUCCAAUUUGCUUUUGCUCUUGAACUUGAGAGAGAAACUGAAGUGUUUCGAAAAAUUUUCUUUAUCGGUUUUGAUUAUCAGCUGUUGCUCGACCAAAUAUCGUCAACAAUUUCAAAUAUAAUCAUGCAAAGUGCAGUAGAAUUAUUAAUACAAUUAUUAACGGAUGAAAUGAUAAUACCUGCGUACGUGUACUAAUAUGAUCGUUCUGUUAUUCUUGCAGGAAACGCUCCACAAUUCACGAGCGAUGCAUUUUGCAUCGGUGUACACGAGUAAUAAGUCGGACAGGUGUAGCCGCUCAAAUAGAAAAUGAAUGUACGCGAGCUUUGCGUGUUCACCCUAUUAUGUUGUUGUUGCUGUUAACUUUCAUCCCCUUGCAACGCACGCGUCACUUCCUACUGGUAAUGGUAAGCCCUCUUCGGAAGGGUAAUUGUCUGCAUGAAGAAAGGGACAACUGCAUCACUUAGGUAUAAUAUAAAUGCACAGUUUAAUGACACUUAUAGUGGAGAUUCUUAAUAAGUAAAUCUUAGGCAUAAAGCUAUGCCAAAUAGAUAUCAAUUGCAUGCAACUAAUAUUAUAAAAUUCAUAUCUAUGUUAUUUAGCAAAAUCUUUCGUGUGAUAAUCAUUAAAGAGAUCUUUAGGUAAUUGUACAAUAAUCAUCAAUUUUCAGAUUAUAUAAAAUAAAGAGGAAAACUAAAUUUCAUUAUUGUUCUCUAAUUUUCCUUGAUUGCUUAAUUCCCGAAAAUUUAGCUCUUGAAGCAGCGCAACGUUGCUGUCGCUCAUUUCACCAUUAAGAAGUGACUGCUCUUUUCGCAGCAUGUCUUCUGGCAUCUACGGUUGAAAGGGCAUCCGGUGGUACGCGGGAGAUGCAAUCGAUGCUCAGUCAAGUUCCUUCAUAUCAGGAUGUCUGAUAUGAAGGAACGAGAAAAGGCCACGACGGAGUGUCAGGGAUGUCGAUCUAAAACCGAACUCCUUUCCGGACUUUCGUCGUUCACGUCGCACGAUCGAUCGGGGUUGACGUUGCCUGGAGAGACCUAAGUCAUCGUAAAAAUCCUCCGUUCCUCCAUUGGGGGACCCAUCCCCUUUCCUUUCAUCGCGGUCUUAUCCCAAGCUGCUGUGAGACAGCUGGAGGAAGGUUCGCUGCAAUUUGUCGCGAUCGUUGUAACAGCAAAAACCAGAAGCAGAAUAUACGUGCAAUUUGUCAGGUUUUCUAUCCCCCUAUAUAUUACCGCGGCCAUGCGGGAAUCAUAUAAUGAGACUUUCAGACAAAGCGCCUCGUCCGCUGAGAAUCGAGCGAAAAAAGCGUCCGCGUUUCACGUGCAAAUUAUUACAACGACGUGUAUCGAUUGCGCCGAAGUUAACGACUCAGCUGCACCGAUUUUCACGACUUGGACGUACUCAACAUCUUGUGAAGAAUAAAUCUCUAGGCAUAGUUUGUUACACGAGAAGUUGUAUACUUUAAAGCCGUAUUAAAAUUAUUUAUGCAGGAAUAAUUUAAAAGAAAAAUUUUGACGAGCGACAAGAGUCUUAGAAAUUUAAAUCUAAAGUUACAAAAUUUAUAAUUAUAGUAACUCUAAAUAAAUUAAGUAGUUACACAAUUACCUAAUUAAAUAAUUUAAGAAGCUAUGUGAUUAAUUAGACAAUCAAAGUAAGUACACAGCAGUUUACUGUACGCGAUUCGUAUACCUUAAAAAUAUUCACUUAUGAGUCAAUGGUUAUUUAUAUAGUAAUCAUUUUCCAAGAAAGAUGUAGCUUUAAUUACAUAACACCUUCAAAUUUCUGUCGUUUUCUCAUCUCUCUCAUUUCUAAAUAAAUAAUCAAAUCGUUUCAAUCUCUUUCAAAGUAUGACGCGGAAGAAGCUUCAAAUCGAUAUUGCUCUCGAUAUUCUACUUCUUCUCAUAAAUGACUAUUUUCCUGAAAACGAGAACGCUCUAUCGCGUAACAGACUACGCUUCGUACCAUGGUCGAGCUCGACCGUGACGGAACUAUUUUCACUCUCGGAUAUUCCAGGAACAGGAGCGCAACCGGGCAUUCCUCAUUUCCGGAGUGAGUAAUUAAAUCGUUACGAGAAUAACGCGAGGCGUUUCGCUCGCGGAGAGACAAAUGCCUUUUAUCUCGCGCAGGUCCACAUGCACAUGUGUGCCCAGCUAAAAAUAAGCCUCGCUCCGUUUUAACGCGCAUCGCACGCUGAUAAGCACUGCUGGAAAAUAAUCAAUUCGAUCGCUUUACUCGGGCCGGUGUGUUGUAACAACAAGACCCUGGAGCCCUAGAUAAGCGUUUAUCGUGUAAUCUGCCGCGCGCUAACGUGGCCUGCGGUCGCAUCAAGUAUCGUUUACAUAAGGAUUAAUGUCGUUGCGGCACGGUCAGUGCGGAAUUCUUGGCUUGCUGCAACAAUGUGCAACCGUUCGCAUAAAUCGAGCACUCGUAUCACAAUCGUAGCUUGUUCUAUCAGAGGCACGCGUGGUCUGGAUUCUAGGAGUAUAAUCGCAUCGAGGAAACCGACUAAUUCAAAAUGCGAAGUUUGACGACGUGAAGCAUCCUCGCGUGGCGCAAAUGCUUCUGAUAUUUCCAUCGACAGCUCAUACAUUUUAUAAUGGAAACUGUCUUGUGGCAAGGAACGGGGAUCGAACCAGUGCAGAGAUAUCGCAGUUAAUAUAGAUUAUAUAUUAAUUGCUACGUGACAUUUAUUAUGAAAGCAAAAAUUUCAGCUGAAGAAAUAUUAUCGGAUUCAUGAAAUUCAACGAAAUCGGUCUUUGUGCAAUAAAUGAGUCUCCAGAUAUCUUGGCUAAUAAUAAAUUUGCGCAUCCUUAUUACUAGGAAUCGGAAACAUAUCUUGAAAAGAUAACUUAAAUAAAUUAAAUUAUAAUGAAUACAAAAUAUUGCAACACGCAGAAGAGAGUAAUUUUUUACUUUUUAUGUUUACAGUGCGAUAUUCAUUAUGAUAUCGCCGAAUUGCAUGCAUAUCGUGCUACACAUGACGUUAAUAAGAAUCGCGCGAAUGUUUCCUUAAGCGAUCAAUUUUUACACGUACGUCUGUUACGUCAACGAUCGGUUGACGAUGAUGGCCCGUCAACCUGUUCCUCAUCGACGCCUCUCUCUCUCAUCGGCGCUCAUUUACGCGACGCUUAAUAGACAAUCAAGCGGCCGAGGCGGCCGAGCAAAUUGUUUCGAUCGACUGCCGCUUCCGGCGACGUUCGAGGCCGUGGAUGAUUGCCUCGUUUGCCUCGCUUUAGUCACUCGAUUAUUUUUCCCCGGACCUGCAAUUGCUCUCACAUCACCGUUGAUCGACAACAAAUCAGUGGAAAGAUUCGUCAAAAGAAAACCGAAGGAUGCGCGCGGAUGUGAAGCGAGCAGAGCGGUUGAUACUCUUGUUCCAAGUUGUUUGAUCGGACACUGUUGCUUCUGAUUGCAAAAAGAAUGCACAAAAACGCAUCGUUCGCCACAAAAUCGUACCAUGUGAACAUUUACUGCCCAAUGUUUCACUAUAGAAAAAGCAAACUGUAUGUACAUAAUUAGUAAUGAAGUAAUAAAUUAUUGUAUAAUAUUACGUUUCAUUUUAUCACUAUUUUUAUUAUACUUUUUAUAUCAAUUUUUUGUAUGUCUGUAAAGAAAUGUUUUUAAGUAAAAACUGAAGCUUCCAAGUCAAAUUGUUUAGGCUCGAAUGGCUCAAAAAAUGUAACUAAUUUAAGAAUCGAUGCUCAAACUGUUCUAAUCAUAUGAUUAUCAGAAUAUUCAGGGCGCUAAUGGAAAACAAAUUCUUGUGAGAAUAGUCUGAAUAUAAUUAACCGAUCAAUGCAGUAGUAUAGUGCAAUCAUAUGUCCGACUAAAGAGUGAUGAAUAGUCAAAGCCUGUCGCGUGAAAUGUCAGCACUAAUGGAAACUUCUUGUAAUGUAAAGCAAUUUACAUCAAAUUCCAAAGAAUCUAUAAAACGAUAAACCUAAAAUAUAAAAAUAUAACAGAGAAUCAAACCCAUAGAAAAAUAAUAAUUUGAUUAUAUAUAAUGUAUACGUAUUGCAUGUAUAUUGCUUUCGUUGCAUACAUGGCUCUGACUUCCACGCAUUUCACAGCAAUUAAUUUCAAAACUUGGAAAGUGAAACACGUGUACAAGUAAAAUAAGAAUGAGCACUGUACGAGUUAAUUAAACAUGGAGGAUAUGUAAUCAGAUUAAAGCGCAAAUAAUGGCUCGUUUCAUAGCACUUAAGAUAAUUAAGUGAACUAUCAAAUUGGAAUAGAAAUGACCAUUUAUCAUGAUAAUGGUAACCAUUCCACGCAACUUGCGUCAUAUUAUCUCGCGUUUCGAACACUGAAACUGAAAGCAAAGUACUCGUACGCUUUGCAGUGCUUGCCAAAUUAAAAAAGAUGUGACUUAUUUGACAUAUGUCUCGACCGCGACUCGCGAGAAAUUUGAUUUGUGCUCUCGAGAUGUAUUAUACAAACCAAACAGAACAAAAAUGUUGAAUUCUAACGCAACAAGUCAUAAAAUUAUAUACAGUCCACUAUUGCCGAUUCGUUAAAAAUAUAUCGCUACAAUUUAAUAUGUUGAGCCAUUAUUUAAAGAAUUUGUUGGCUAGAUUUAUUAAAAAUAUUGUGAAAUCGUGGUAGUUACAAACCACUAUCAUGGAAAGUAGUUCAAGGAAGCAUGCAAUUUAAUGUUUGCCGGGAUGCCCUUGGUUCCGCUAGGAUUAAACCUCGAUAGGUCAAGGGUGUUCGUCGCGAUAAACUAGUUUUAGCAAAAUGUAUUUAAAAAUUUCGGAAAUUAAAGCCACGUUGCUUUAGUGCUGCGACAGCAGUUAACUAACGUACACAGCUAUGCAACAUAUAUUGUAACUUUGAUAUAAAAGCGUUUUCGCGCUUUCAACCAAUGAGUACUCCAUGAUAAUGCAUAAAGGUACUUCAAAGGUACCCGAUUAUUCAUUAAAUUCUCUUUUUGAUGCAAAAAUGCAAAAAACUUAACUGCGAAAUAUCGUUUCCAGAUCCAAGAAGUUGUGGAAAAAACCAUCGGAUAUACAUCCGAUGUCGAUUUAAACGACAGUUUCAACGACCGUCUCGCCGAUUCGCAACGAUGAGACGCACGACUGCGAUGAACGAGGGGGCAAUUGAAAAGCAGACGCACGGUGGCGGCGAAACGCGAAACAGAGGCCCGAGAGAGGCCCGCGUUCGCGGUGCUCCAACCCAUCCAUUGUCCGCUGGCACAAUGGAGAUCUUUUCUCGUAGUGUUCGCCACGUUUUCCUCGAUGCUUGUUGCUCUGAUGGGUGGCUGACUAAACUUUGCCCGGCCGCCUCCACCGCCGCACCACGUGCACAUCCCGCCGCACGCCCUCAGUAAUUUCCCGCACAAACGGAUAUAGGCGUACUCGGUGUAUACGCGCCGGGGGUUGAAGAAGAACGAGCGAAAGGGGCGAACGCGAGGGCGAUGGAGAACGCAGAACAGCGAGGGAGAAAGAAGGAGACCUCGUCGCCGGCGCGAGAGGAAAGAGAGAGAAGAGAGAAGUGUGCCACUGUGGAAAGCGGCUACGCGCGCACUAGGAUUCGCCUGGGGAUAGGUCAAUCAAUGACCUAUUUAAGGCAUCCUCUCAGACCGGUCUCCCUCGGCACCCGCCAUCGCGUCCGCCACUCGACCCGAGGUUCUCGCGAUGAAUGCACGGCGGGAUACUGCGAUGAACAAAUAGAGCGAGUGCUAUGCGUCCGUAAAGAGGAGAGCGAAGUGUUGCCACGAGUCGGAGGCUCUCUCUCUCGCGAAGACAAUUUUCAAAGCGAAAGAGGAUAAGAUUUUAAAUGGAGUCUUCGCAUCGGAGACAUAGUAUGAGAGCAAUUAAGUGUGCUUUUGAAAGUAUCAGAUAUGCUCAAAUGAGCCGACAACUAUUGUAGUAGAAAUCUAGUCGAAAUUUCAAACAGAAACAUUUCGAAGUGGAAGCAUUUGAGUUUCAACCAAGGAUAGUUCGAACGCGAUCAAAUUUGCUUCGCAUCUUAUGUAAAACUUGGAUUGAGUAAUA